rnacentral:lncRNA from 1 species
GUUGUAAAAAAUUAGUGAAGGCAAAGCAACAAUAUAUGUAGAAUAGGGAAUUAUAUGUGGAAUCUCACAAUCUCACCUCUCUUACCAACCGAAGCUCAUGUGAGUUCCCCGCAGAUUACCACGGCCAAUGCGAGGUGGUAACCGAGAAUGAUGGUUGGGAGAAUCCAAGAUCAGUAUUUUCCUAUGACGGUGGGUUAUUUGUGGAGCUUGGUGGGGAUAUAUUUCACAAGGAAUGCAAUCUGAAUUCUUGAUAUUGUAAAGUUAAACCACAAUCCAAACUAGAAGUUCAAUGCCUAGUGCUGACCACAAGAUAUGAGUGAUGUAAAUAGAUCAAACACACGCGCAAAGAUAAUUCAGAUUUGAUGCAAACAAGGAGUAUGCCUAGGAUGCAAGUGUUGCAAUCAAACCCAAGCAAAAUUUUGCACCAAAGAUGGAUAAUGACUGAUUGUGUGUCUUGAUAUAAAAUUCAGAACUUGAGCACAUAAACAGAGUGAACUUUCUACUCUUUCUUCACAACUUUUCUUCCUCAACUUUCCUCUUUUUUUUUCACUUUCCUUUUUUUGAUACUUUUUUUUAUAACUAAGAACAAGAGCAGAUAUAACACUUACACACACUUUUUUUUUUGAAACAAGACACAACCGUCAGCGUUCUAACUUGAUAGGCUCAAAGUUUACGCGAAGGAUGAUACCGGUUUCAGAUUUUCUUUAGGGAUUUCUAGAUAUAAAAGAGGCACAAAGGACACACAAAGGAUAUGAUGAUCAGCAACUAAACAAAACUCUAAUGGACUGAAACUUAACCAAAAUCACAAGAAAAACAGAUUGAAACAAAGGGCUAAUGCAAUUUUUUUAUGGCUUUUUGGUGGAUAGGACGAACAAGAUAUAUAUAUGUAGCUAAGGGUAAAAUUCCUACCGUGGAAACUUGAGCUCUGAUACCAGAUGAUGAGGUCGUUGUCCCGAUCUUCACGACGUAGGAUAACUAGCUGAAGAUCAGCCGAUAACUUGCUGCAAGCAGCGAGGAUAACUAGUGCAACCUGACGACACGCACAAGGAGCCAACCACCGUCUCUAUACGGCAGCCUGAACCAAGGAUUCGCCCAACCACACUCUCAAAGAACCAACCUACGCAACCUGAACUCGAGGAUCAGGAGCACGGAUUGGGUGCCGAUGACGCGGCCGCUUCUGUAAUCUCCACGAAGGAAAACACGAGAGCAAAGGGGUAGAGAUCUCUCUCUAAAUUUGUUAGCACAUAGCUGAACAAAGUGGUUUGUAUUCUCAAUAUCAUAAGUCUUGGAUUACAAUGAGUCUUAGGGGGUAUUUAUACUAGCAACAGCCCUGCUAGAUAGGUAUGAAAACGAAAUAGAGUUUCUGAGGGAAGGCAAUGUGAAAGGUCCCCUCGAAAUGGAUUCCCGAAGUGGCUUCGCGUGACUGUUGGCCUCCAGAGCAGUUUCCAAUAAACUGACCAUAACUUUUUAUUGGGAAGUCCAAAUGAUGAACCGUUUCUUGGGUGUGAAACUAGACUCCAAGAGCUUUCCAGCAACAUAUGCCAUGCACCAUGAAACGCUGUAGAUUGGUACAGUUUUACUUGGCAAGUUGUACCAACAUUCUAUCACGACAGACUGUUGACCUUCUGAGCAGUCUAUACUAAUUCUGGUCUGCAGGCAAUAUGGAGUAUCCAAACUGGUCUCCACUAGAUUCAUUGGAAAGUAGACUCGAAGAGCUUUCAAACAAGUGCUCAUGCGCCUUCAUAGCAUCUCGAAAGUGAAAGUUAUGAUCUUUUCUUUCAACUGGUCCGUUCUACACCGUACUGGUCCGAUCUGCCCUUCUUUCAACUGGUCCGUUCUGCACCGUGUUGUUCCAAUCCUUGCGAUCCAGGUCACCUCCCUCCUCAUGUGUAUACCUAACCACAACCAAAGUAGAACACUUAGGUAGUAUAAUAUUCUCAUUAACAUUAAUAGAACUCUCACAAAGUAGCGCAUUCACCUCUUGUUGUAGCUUCUUGGCUCGGCUACGUGUAAUUGCUCCAUCAAUGGCUUGGGCUGGUGCCGGCGUAGUCGGUGUAGAGGUUGGC